rnacentral:rRNA from 1 species
AUUGAACGCUGGCGGCAUGCCUUACACAUGCAAGUCGAACGGUAACGCGGGGCAACCUGGCGACGAGUGGCGAACGGGUGAGUAAUGCAUCGGAACGUACCCAGUAGUGGGGGAUAGCCCGGCGAAAGCCGGAUUAAUACCGCAUACGACCUAAGGGUGAAAGCGGGGGACCGUAAGGCCUCGCGCUAUUGGAGCGGCCGAUGUCAGAUUAGGUAGUUGGUGGGGUAAAGGCCUACCAAGCCUUCGAUCUGUAGCUGGUCUGAGAGGACGACCAGCCACACUGGGACUGAGACACGGCCCAGACUCCUACGGGAGGCAGCAGUGGGGAAUUUUGGACAAUGGGCGCAAGCCUGACCCAGCCAUGCCGCGUGAGUGAAGAAGGCCUCGGUUGUAAGC